GACGAACGCUGGCGGCGUGCUUAACACAUGCAAGUCGAACGGAAAGGCCCUGCUUUUGUGGGGUGCUCGAGUGGCGAACGGGUGAGUAACACGUGAGUAACCUGCCCUUGACUUUGGGAUAACUUCAGGAAACUGGGGCUAAUACCGGAUAGGAGCUCCUGCUGCAUGGUGGGGGUUGGAAAGUUUCGGCGGUUGGGGAUGGACUCGCGGCUUAUCAGCUUGUUGGUGGGGUAGUGGCUUACCAAGGCUUUGACGGGUAGCCGGCCUGAGAGGGUGACCGGCCACAUUGGGACUGAGAUAGGGCCCGGACUCCUACGGGAGGCAGCAGUGGGGAAUAUUGCACAAUGGGCGGAAGCCUGAUGCAGCAACGCCGCGGGCGGGAUGACGGCCUUCGGGUUGUAAACCGCUUUCGCCUGUGACGAAGCGUGAGUGACGGUAAUGGGUAAAGAAGCACCGGCUAACUACGUG
rnacentral:rRNA from 1 species